rnacentral:rRNA from 1 species
GAUCCUGGCUCAGGAUGAACGCUGGCGGCGUGCCUAACACAUUCAAGUCGAACGGGAUUUAUUGAAUUAAUCCUUCGGGAAGCGUUUGAUAAAUUUAGUGGCGGACGGGUGAGUAACGCGUGAGCAACCUGCCUUUGCAACCGGGAUAACAGUUGGAAACGACUGCUAAUACGGGAUAAAGUAUUUGGAAUGCAUGUUCUGAAUACCAAAGAUACGUCGUGCAAAGAUGGGCUCGCGUCUGAUUAGA